UAACACGUUCAACCAUUGCAAACGUGGAGUGAGUAUUUGGCUGUAUUUAAAAUAACCGUUGGAAUUAUUCACAAAGGUUCCGUAGGUUGCUUUAUAUAUGAAUUUCUGCCGAUUUGUUAGUACUUCUUUUUCGGGUAAGUCUAAAUGUUCAGCGCUUCAUCCUAUCGACCUACUUAUACAUAUUAUAUAGUUCCUAUUGAGUGAAUUGAUAAUUCAUUUUCGUCCUGAAUAUAUAUAUAAAAAAAAACGUUGUAAAUUGAUUACAACCUCUAUAGAAUGAUACUCAGGAUUCAUUAAUAGAAUAUAUGUUAUGGGCGGAC
rnacentral:lncRNA from 1 species